rnacentral:lncRNA from 1 species
GAUUUAAUGGCAUUACAUCAUAUAAUUAUUUAUUUAUGAUAAAAAAAAAAAUAGCUUCUAAAUAACACCAAAUGAUAGUUUUAUAAAAUUAGGGGGUAAAUUUAUACUUUUUUUGCCAACUUUUCAAAAUAACGAUUUCUUAUUUAAUAAAUCACGCAAUCAAAACCCCAUACAGACCUCAUUUAUAACUGACCAAUGAAUCAUAGUAUGCCCCACAACU